GAUGAACGCUGGCGGCGUGCCUAACACAUGCAAGCCGAGCGAUUUACUUCGGUAAAGAGCGGCGGACGGGUGAGUAACGCGUGGGUAACCUGCCCUGUACACACGGAUAACAUACCGAAAGGUAUGCUAAUACGAGAUAAUAUGCUUUUAUCGCAUGGUAGAAGUAUCAAAGCUUUUGCGGUACAGGAUGGACCCGCGUCUGAUUAGCUAGUUGGUAAGGUAACGGCUUACCAAGGCGACGAUCAGUAGCCGACCUGAGAGGGUGAUCGGCCACAUUGGAACUGAGACACGGUCCAAACUCCUACGGGAGGCAGCAGUGGGGAAUAUUGCACAAUGGGCGAAAGCCUGAUGCAGCAACGCCGCGUGAGCGAUGAAGGCCUUCGGGUCGUGAAGCUCUGUCCUCAAGGAAGAUAAUGACGGUACUUGAGGAGGAAGCCCCGGCUAACUACGUGCCAGCCGCCGCAGUAACAC
rnacentral:rRNA from 1 species